UUCUACAAAUCAGGACUUUUCUCCCCCCAAAAGACAGCUGUUUACAAACACAUCCCAGAGCAGAAUUCAUAUAUCCAAAAGGUCUCUGGAGCACUUAAUCAUUUUUAAGAGUAUGGGAGCGCUGGCACUUAAGUUUGAGAACCACUGCUCUGAGGGAUUCUAUUGGUGAAGAGAGAAAAGAUAGUUGAAAAUUCGCAGCGGGAGGAUUGGUUAUAAACUGGAAAAAAAAAAAGGCAAAAAGUAAAUCAAAUUGUAUGGAAAAGCAAUGUGGAAUUUGCAGGAAGUCACCAUUUCAGGAAAGAAAUGCCUAGGAAAACUAGAAUGCAUGAAGACCACAAAAUACAUGAAGAAAAAUGGACACAAGUGAAGGAAAAGCACACGAUUCAUUAAUAAUGGUUGGGUUUUCAAGGUCUUCAAAACUUUCAGUAAUGAGUGGGUAGAUAGUGUUUGGAAUAUUCUCCAGAACAGAUCAUGUUAUCACAUAAAACGAGUCUCAAUACAUUUUAAAGAACAGAAAUCAUACAAAAAUGUUAUCAUAGU